GCUCGAUUGAGUCAUUUUUAUGUUUCGUUUCGAAAAGACCCUAAUCGUUUGUGAAUCUCAUCACUGUUAGAGAUCCUCCUCCCUUAACACAGAAUGGAAUCAUCAGAGGAAAAAUCUGCUUCUUAAUCAAUUAGUUUCAGCGUUUGUACCUCUCUCUGGAUCGAUGUCAUCUGACAGUCUCUUCUCAAGCAAGGCGUGGUGAGACCGUGUACCAGCUCGUACAAUACACCUGCCAAUCGAGUACCUAAACCUGAUGGUACCUGGCGUUUUACGCAGGAUUUACGGCUCUGUGGUCCUGCAGUUUGCAGACAAUCUUCUGGUAUCUGCUGAGUCACCAGAAAUCUGCCAAGACACUUCCUUACGCCUCUUCCAACAUCUGGCGCACAAGGGCUUUAAGGUUUCCAGGACCAAGCUGCAAUAUUGCAUGGACACUUAAGUAUUGAACUUUCACAAGGUUGUUGUAAGCUGUCAUCUGAUUGGGUGCGGGUGAUUCUAGACACAAAACGCCCUGCAACUAAACAUGCACUGAUGUCUUUUCUGGGUCUUAUCAGUUACUGCAGACAAUGGAUCCCUGACUGCUCUUUAUAUGACAAGAUUCUCCGUUCUGCAAUCUCUCAUGAUCCACUGCAGCACCCUUUGACCUGGACUGAUGCUACGGCGGACACUUAUCACUCCCUCAAAAGCACCCUUUGUUCCGCCCCUGGGUUUACCUGAUUACUCCAAGCCCUUCCACCUCUAUGCCUGUGAACACCAAGGCACAGCUGUUGGCCCGGGAGCAUGGGGGGGAUGUGUCCUUGUGCGGGUUUUCAUCCAAAACAUUAGGCACUGUUGCUCAAGGCUUACCUGCGUGUCUAAGGGCUGUCUCCGCAUGUGCUUUGAUGGUUUUAGACGCUGAAAAAAUUGGUUUUGUCUCACCCACUGAUCUUGCACUCGUCACAUCAAGUUAAACAGGUGUUGUAAAAUUUACAGACCCAACAUAUGACUGUUCAUUCUCUGUUCUACUAACAAUCUCGAAAUUUGUGCCACAUCCUCUUUUGAUACUGUAGGUCAUGCUCUCGCACGCCUCCUUAAUUCUCGGAAUGACAUUUGGGAUGACAUUGAUAUUGUCUGUCUAAAAAUCGUACAUACUACUAGUAUCAGGUCUGAUCUCUCCUCCAUCCCUCUAGGGAUGGGGGAAGUACUCUUUGUUGAUGGUUCUUGUUCCAAACCCUCAGAUGGUGUAUAAUAUUUAUAAUUUAUAAUAUUUAUAAUACCUCUGUGGUUACUCUGUGUGUUCACUGCCUGAUAUUGUGCAUGAGGCAUACGCUCUUCCUUUCUCAUUUGAUUUUUGUCAUCUUGAUUGUGGACAAAUUCUCUAAAUGGGUAGAAGCUUUUCCCUGUUCUCGAGAGAACACGAAGGUAGUUACUCGUAUUCUGGCAAAAGAAAUAAUACCUAGUUAUAAUAAUAAUAAUAAUAAUAAUAAAUUUUAUUUAUAAGCGCCUUUCAAGGUACCCAAGGACACUGAACAGUAAAAAAAAAAAAACAGUAAAAGCAGAACAAUAAAAUAACAAAAUAAUAAGAAAUCAAUAAUUAUUGUUAUAGUUAUGGGGUUCUAGAUGCCAUAGACUCAGACAAGGGUACCCCUUUUCCUCAAAAGUCACACAAAACCUUUGUAAGUAUCUCUCACUAAACUGGCGUUUUCACAUUCCGUACCACCCUCAAUCCUCUGGUAUUGUAGAACGUACUAAUCGAACAUUGAAAGACAAAUUAAUUAAGGCCAUGUAGGCCACAGGUUCGAAAAAAUUGGGUAGACUUAUUGCCAGCCACUCUGGCUGAAAUUUGUAUGACACCAAAACCUAGUCUAGGGGGAUACUCCCCCUACGAAAUUAUUUUUGGAAGACCUUUCCCUCUCCCCUGGAAGAAGGGAACUCCGGCUCCGGGUACCUCUGAUUUGAAAACACAUAUGGAUGAGUAUUCUGCAGCCCUUAUAGAUAAGUUGCAUGAAAUUUGUACCAAGGUCAAUAGUACAAUAUUAUCUCCACCACACACCCCUUCCACGUGGGAGACAAGGUGCUGGUGUGACUCUUUAAAUGAUUUGGACAAUUGGGAGAACCUAUAUAUAGUGGGCCUGCAGACAUAGUUGCCAUUACUUUUACUGCUGUUUUAACUGAUCUUUUUCCACAGUGGAUCCAUGCCACGCGAUUGAAGAAGGCUCCAUAACAAAGUUGUUACAAUGACAAGUUUGCUACUAACGUUUUCUCUGUGUCCCUAUCCAGUCUCUGUUCUGUCUCUCUAUCUCUGAGCUUUACACAGAUUUGACGUGACCUGUGUGCAGCCCUGGCCGACUGAGAAUCCUCAGAUUACCUGCAAGACGUUGUGAACAAAGAGGGGAUCUCGCGCCCUGUCUGGGACCAGUCAUCCUCACUACAACCAUGAAGUCCUCAUCACGAGCUUCAUGACCACUCUACUGCUGCUCGGAGCAGGGUUACCCGCUCGAGCUGGACCUCGAGACAACAUCUUUUGGCAAUUCGCUAACUGGACUGCACAUGAAUGAAAGUUAUGUCUGUCAUCUGAUGCCGUUUUCUACUAUUAUUACACGUCUCUAUGCUCUGAAGCUCUGUAUUCUUACAGGACUCUCUUCUCACUAUAGGUCGAUAUGCCCUAUAAUUUCAUUUUCCCUCACUGUUUUAGAACAAAUUACUCUGAAGGAAGUAGCGUGUAUUUGGGACAAAUUUUAAGAGGUUUCGAAUUUCUCUAAGCUCCGGUGAGGUGGGACGAGGGCUGAUAGGGCAUGCCCGCCCUCUGAGCACCAAUACACGUCAAGAAGAGCAAGGAUUAACUCAAGCAUACGUCUAAUCCUAAUUCUCGAUGUAAUCACAUACAUGAUCAGAAUACCGGGGUGUGAUCCUAGUGAUACUAGUAUCAAAGAGGGGAUUGUUAGGAUUUAUUCCUUUGUAAGGAUAAAUAAUAUUGUAUUCUGAUCAUAUAAGGAUUUAUUCUUAAUAUUGUUAAUAUUCUACUCCAUUCUAUUUUAGUAUUUCAGCUAGAAGGCAUUGAAUUAAGACGUGACCUUCUGUCUCAGCUAGACACAUUGCUCGAGACGUAAUAUUGAUAUCUUUUUGAACAUUUUGCCCUGUGCUAUCUCUGACCUAAGGAAUGGCCUUUGAUAUCUGUCUGCACAUUAUCAUGUCAUAAGAACAUCUUAUUAUUGUAUACCAUCGCCAAGGUUUCACUCACACACAUACAUCUGAACGUUCAUUAGAACAGUGAUAUAAUUAAGACGUGACCUGCUCAAGGUCUGACUACAGUCUCUGAAGCAUGCAAUGCAUUAACACACACACACACACAGACACAGAUAUCAAAAUGAUAUCACUCACUCACACACCCCCAUAUACACACACACACAGCACCAAGGUCUUCAGUGAUGUCACUUCAUCCGCACAGAUAAGACACACACAAAAUCCCCUGAAUUCUCUUGUCUCAUUGGGGACUUGUGAAUAAAGAUGCGAACUACUU